CUGUGGAGUGUACAAGAACUUGUUAGUAGUGAGUUAUUUAUAACCACCAAAGCAUACACGAUGAAACAGUAA
rnacentral:sRNA from 1 species